AUUCUAAUGUUGUAAGUGGUUAGCACAUCCGACUGACAAUUGAAAGAUUCGUGGUUCGAAUCCCGAUGAGAGUA
rnacentral:tRNA from 1 species